AUUCUAAUCUGUGAUUUUAUUAUUUAAGAUUCAUUUAUUUAUUAUCAUAGAACUAUAACUAAUUAGACGUGGCAAGAAUGCAACAAUAAAAAAAAUGCAACAAUAGCAAAAUGUAAGCAUUGUUUUGCCUAACCUGUGAAUUCAUUGCAAUGAUUAUGUGAGAAGUUAUACAAUAAAAUAAUUUAAAGAUCUAUUGAAAAUCAUUAAAAUGAAUAACCCAAGAUAAAUUAUCCUUUUAGGAAUUUUUGGCAGAAAACAAAAAACUAUUACUGUCAAAUGGGUAUAAUCAAUAUUCCUCUUUCAAAAUGAUCUGUAAUUCUUUUGUCUUGAGUUAACUCAGUUGUGGGAAUCAACACCUGGAGAAUGUAAUGGGGGUAAGACAUUACAUGUGGGAGUAAAGAAAGCAUUAAAAGGCUUUAAGAAUUGGGGGUACGAGGUAGGAAAUUCAUGUGCUCUAUAGAGGAUCAUCUAGCUUAUGAUUAUGAAGUAUUUCAUACAUUCUUAAUUCUGUAGCUGAGCUAAGACCUAUUUCUUCAACUCUGUAUGUCCUUUCUUUUCAAAGCUUUCUGACAAUUCUCCCUCCCUUUUUCUCCCUCUCUCCAUGCCUGCUUUUGUUGGGGACAAUAUGAGUGCUGAUGGGAAGCAGUGAAUAGAAACAAUAUGAUGAACAUAGUCCAAUCUACACUUAAAGAGGACAUGGCCCGAGCCAAACACAGGAUCCUAUUUCCAAGAACACCUGUCGCUUCAUGGAUCAAAUAUGUCACCAGUCUAGAGUCUGCAGUUUAGAACUGGAGAAACAUGGUCCUUGAGGUUCUUGAAAUAGGUCCCAUCCCUUUAUUGUGUCUGGUACUAUUAAAUUUCCCCUUUGACAAUGGAUUCUACAAGCAUGCAUGACGUGGGGGUCUUUGUGCAGUUGGUUUCAAUGGAAAAAGGACACUUACAUGUAU